GAUGAACGCUGGCGGCGUGCCUAAUACAUGCAAGUCGAGCGAACAGAUGAGGAUCUUGCUCCUCUGACGUUAGCGGCGGACGGGUGAGUAACACGUGGAUAACCUACCUAUAAGACUGGGAUAACUGCGGGAAACCGGAGCUAAUACCGGAUAAUAUAUUGAACCGCAUGGUUCAAUAGUGAAAGACGGUUUUGCUGUCACUUAUAGAUGGAUCCGCGGCGCAUUAGCUAGUUGGUAAGGUAACGGCUUACCAAGGCAACGAUGCGUAGCCGACCUGAGAGGGUGAUCGGCCACACUGGAACUGAGACACGGUCCAGACUCCUACGGGAGGCAGCAGUAGGGAAUCUUCCGCAAUGGGCGAAAGCCUGACGGAGCAACGCCGCGUGAGUGAUGAAGGUCUUCGUAUCGUAAAACUCUGUUAUUAGGGAAGAACAAAUGUGUAAGUAACUAUGCACGUCUUGACGGUACCUAAUCAGAAAGCCACGGCUAACUACGUG
rnacentral:rRNA from 1 species